rnacentral:misc_RNA from 1 species
AACACCUCAACUCUCACGGCUUGCCGUGAUGAGCUUGGACUUUGGGGGUCUUGCUGGCCUGUGGUCGGCUCCUCUCAAAUGAAUUAGCUUGCCAGUGUUUGGUGGGAUCACAGGCGUGAUAACUAUCUACGCUUGUGGUUUUCCACCAGGUAACCCUCAGCGAUGGAGGUUCGCUGGAGCUUAUAAACGUCUCUCCCCAGCGAAGACAGAUUUNGACC